GCUGGUGACAUAACUACUGAAAAAACAUCAUGUGUGGCCAUGACUUACUGUGCGUUCAAGUCCUCCUGGGAAGUUCAUAUUUACGAUUCAGAUAAACAGUGGUGUGCUGUAGCAAGCGGUCAGCGGGCAGGAAGCAAGCGGCGAGGGGUGACUGUGACUCAACCUCGACAGAUUGCUGAGAAGUAACUGAGGGGAGAGAGUACAGGUAGUCCUGCUUUUUAUCUUCAGGAAUAUUUUUCCAAUGUGUCUUUCUGACAGAGCUAUCAAACAGUCAAUCAGAUAUAAAUCCUUGUCAAUAAGAUCUUAGUAAUAAUGAAGACGUUAAUAAUGUAAUUGGUUUCAGUAAAUGUUUAGGUAUGUGGUACAUGUCAAAGUAACUGGUUUCCCAGCAGAACAUUGCCCAGAGCAUCACGCUGCUUCAGCCGCCUUAUUUUAAACAGUGCAUCCUGGUGCCAGGUAAGUGAUGCACAUACACUCGGCCGUCCACAUGAUGUAAAUAAAAUGUGAUUAGUCAGACCAGACCACCUUCUUCCAUUGCUCCAUGGUCCAGUUCUGAUGCGCACAUGCCCAUUGUACGUGCUUUCGGUGGUGGACAGGAGUCAGCAUGGGCACUCUGACCGGUCUGUGGCUACGCAGCCCCAUACACAGCAAACUAGGAUGCACUGUGUGUUCUGACAUCUUUCUAUCAUAUCAUCAUUAAGUUCUUCAGCAAUGUGUGCUACAAUAGCUCUUCAAUGGGAUCAGGCCAGACGGGCUAGCCUUCGCUCCCCAUGAGCAUCCAUGAGUCUUGGGCGCCCAUGACCCUGUUGCUAGUGCAUCAUUUCUCCUUCCUUGAACCACUUUUGGUAGGAACGAACCACUUCAUACUAGGAACACCAAAAAAGACCUGCCGUUUAGGAGAUGCUCUGACCCAGUCAUCUAGCCAUCACAAUUUGGUCCUUGUCAAAGUCAUUCCAAUCCUUACCCUUGUUUGUUCUGAAUCUGCCUGAUUCACCAGAUGCCUCUCCUGCAUCAAGUGCUACUGAACCUGAGGAGCCGACCUACCAGCUACCACAGAGAGAGAGACACCCGCCAAGGCGCAUCACCUACGAUCAGCUGGGUACUCCGUCCUGCUAUAGUAUCCAGCCACAGCCGCAGUUGUUGCCUUUCUACCCUGCACCAGGACUGGUCCCAUGGUUGCCACCCUUGCAGCCAUACUACCUUCAGCCACCCUGUAUGUAUGGACUCCAGCAAACGUGAGUUUACAGAUGUGACAUACUGAAAUAGAACCAUGAACUACUAAUGGACUGUUUUCAUAGACUGUUUUCACGGGCAGUUGAAAUGAACUUUGAAUUUGCAGACUGCACAGAUCAUUGAAACCGAUGGACUGUUGAUCAAGAGUAUGUGCAAAGACUCUCUAUGGACUGUUUAUACAGUAGCCAGUCAACAGAUAUGGACUGUGAAUAUGGACCGUUGACAUAUUUGAACUGUGGCCUUUGACCUAAGUACCACCUUACAGAAGAGGAUUUCCAGUGUCAAGUUCUUGAGAGACUGUUUAAAAGACAACUGUUUGAUUUAAUGUCGAGACGACAUUUAUUUUGUAGGGAAGAGUGUGACAAGUUGAAAUGUGAUAUGCGCUAUGCUGUAACAAGGUAUAGCAGAUUCAAAUUCAUGAUCAGUAAUGAUAAAAAAGGGGUUAAGCUAAAUAGUCAAAUAUUUUAAAAAGAGAGUUAAGAGAGUGUUUAUUUUUCAUAGUUAUUCCAUUUUCAUGUGAUAAUACAUUGAUAAUUCAAGUAACUAUAACGCUGAUCAGUCAUCUAUUAGGAUGGUCUGAAUCCCGCACUCUGGGAUCGAUUGAUUUAGUCUCCGCCCACACACCUGGAGGAAGUGCGGUAUUCUUUCAUUCGAGUAAAGCUCUCGUGGAAG
ensembl:lncRNA